rnacentral:tRNA from 1 species
GGGCGAAUAGCUCAAUCGGUCAGAGCACUCGGUUUACAUCCGAGGGGUUACAGGUUCGAGUCCUGUUUCGCCCA